GGCUUGUUAGCUCAGUUGGUUAGAGCAUGGUGCUGAUAACUCCAAGGUUGGGGGUUCAAUCCCUAUACACGCCA